rnacentral:siRNA from 1 species
CUACCACUCGACGAUUCCUCGC